CUCCAUGAAGUUGGAUUCGCUAGUAAUCGCGCAUCAGCCAUGGCGCGGUGAAUACGUUCCCGGGCCUUGUACACACCGCCCGUCAAGCCAUGGGAGCCGGGGUGCCUGAAGUUCGUUACCGCAAGGAUCGACCUAGGGCAAAACUGGUGACUGGGGCUAAGUCGUAACAAGGUAGC
rnacentral:rRNA from 1 species